GACGAACGCUGGCGGCGUGCCUAAUACAUGCAAGUAGAACGCUGAAGCUUGGUGCUUGCACCGAGCGGAUGAGUUGCGAACGGGUGAGUAACGCGUAGGUAACCUGCCUGGUAGCGGGGGAUAACUAUUGGAAACGAUAGCUAAUACCGCAUAAGAGUAGAUGUUGCAUGACAUUUGCUUAAAAGGUGCAAUUGCAUCACUACCAGAUGGACCUGCGUUGUAUUAGCUAGUUGGUGAGGUAACGGCUCACCAAGGCAACGAUACAUAGCCGACCUGAGAGGGUGAUCGGCCACACUGGGACUGAGACACGGCCCAGACUCCUACGGGAGGCAGCAGUAGGGAAUCUUCGGCAAUGGACGGAAGUCUGACCGAGCAACGCCGCGUGAGUGAAGAAGGUUUUCGGAUCGUAAAGCUCUGUUGUAAGAGAAGAACGAGUGUGAGAGUGGAAAGUUCACACUGUGACGGUAUCUUACCAGAAAGGGACGGCUAACUACGUGCCAGCAGCCGCGGUAAUACGUAGGUCCCGAGCGUUGUCCGGAUUUAUUGGGCGUAAAGCGAGCGCAGGCGGUUAGAUAAGUCUGAAGUUAAAGGCUGUGGCUUAACCAUAGUACGCUUUGGAAACUGUUUAACUUGAGUGCAAGAGGGGAGAGUGGAAUUCCAUGUGUAGCGGUGAAAUGCGUAGAUAUAUGGAGGAACACCGGUGGCGAAAGCGGCUCUCUGGCUUGUAACUGACGCUGAGGCUCGAAAGCGUGGGGAGCAAACAGG
rnacentral:rRNA from 1 species